rnacentral:ncRNA from 1 species
AUAUGACUCUCUGUCAAGGGCUGCCUGGGGAGCAAUCUCCAGGUGAAACCUGCCAAAUUCGGGGAAGCCUAAGUCGUAAGAUAAGGUAAUCCCGAGCCAAGCCUCCACGGCGAGGAAGGUGUAGAGACUAGACGGCAGGCACCCCUAUGCCAGGGGUGAAGGGAUAGUCCAGAUCACAAACCUGAAAGGGGCAG